ACUACCUGUUUCUUGUCUUAACAAACUUGGCUCUUGAAGCUUUCUUCUCCAGCUUCUCCCUCUUUUUGCGUGUCUUUUCAUCUUCCACAUCUCCCUCUGACCCUAAUGAUAAGAAUCCUCUAACAAAUCCAAGGGAUUUGUACGCUCCAAAUGCAGGUAUCACCAGGUAUGUGUACCAAAAUUUUUCAGAGAUAAUGGACAUCAGUUGCACAAAGCUUGUAAUGUAGAUGACAUCAUGCAGAUAGCCACAAAUUCCACCAGUGCUCAUGUCAAACCCACCAUCAAGAAGAUCCCCAUCAUCUGCAUAAGUAGGUUUUGCCAUUGCAGCAAGUUGUUGAUAGGGAAUGAAAUAAGCUAUAGACGUCAAAACCAAACCCAUCCAAUGUUUCCAAGUGAAAGUGGAAUGAAAAAUCAGCAUCCUCGCCAGGACAUAUAUAACAUUGCAGGCAAUAAUUAGGUGACGGAGCUUUGUCAUAUGGCGUGUGUUCUCUUCCUUGCGCUUCUUGGCUCCUUGAUUUGCCAUUCCUCUCUCUUAAACAAUUUGUAAACCCUAGAAAAGUAUCAGCUUUUCCCAGAACAAGUAAGCCUAGAGACGCCACCUCCCUCCAACCGAGGACGAAAGCCAGGCCGGUUGAUCCUCAACUCUUCCCCAAUCGUAAGCUCAUAUACGGAAUCUUUAAUUCGCCGGCGGAUCAAGCUUUAGGGUUUCGGUUAAUCGAAAGAGGAAAAGGCCAAGAAAGCAAGUUAGAGAGAGAGAGAGAGAGAGUGAUAAUUUUUCCUCUAGGGAAAUGAAAAC
rnacentral:misc_RNA from 1 species